GUGUUUCCUGAGCCCUGUAGGAGUGAUAGGAGGUACCCAGUUUGGGGAUAAGCAUCACUUAUUCCCAGCAUAUUGACAAGUUAUGAGCCUCUGCAUUGCCCACUGCAAAAAGAAGUUUUUCUCAACAAGGCUGAGAGAGGCUGCAGGCCACACCAUUAAGCAAAGUCAAUGCAGGAACUCAAAGCAGAAACUGUGGAUGAAGGCUGCUGUGGGUUUGCUUUCCUUGGCUUGUUCAGCUACCUUUCCUAUGCUGCCCAGGUCAUUGCUGGCUAAGGUCACUGCAACUGAGGGCGCCCCUUUCCCAAUCUUGUGACCUUUUCAGACCGAAAUCCUGCCAUGUGAAGCCAAACCUCUGCUUUUCUUCUGGACCCCUACAAUCCUACAACUGAGCCUGCAACUUCAAUAAUAGUGUCUUCUGGACUCUCUUCAGAGAGAUGCUCACCCUAUCACACAGAGGAAGCAAGCUAGUAAGCAAAGCAUUCUUCCAUGGUCACUGUUUCAGGUUCCAGCCUUGGUUUUGCUUGAUGUCAUAUUACAGCCUGUAAGAUGAAAUAAAUCCUUUCAUUCCCCAA